rnacentral:rRNA from 1 species
AUACGAAAGGUGCAAGCGUUGUUCGGAUUUACUGGGCGUAAAGAGAGUGUAGGUUGUUUAUUAAGUCGGAUGUGAAAUCCCGGGGCUCAACCUCGGAACUGCAUUCGAUACUGGUAGACUAGAGUUCGGGAGGGGUAAGCGGAAUUCCGUGUGUAGCAGUGAAAUGCGUAGAUAUACGGAGGAACACCUGAGGCGAAGGCGGCUUACUGGACCGAUACUGACACUGAGACUCGAAAGCGUGGGUAGCAAACAGGAUUAGAAACCCGGGUAGUCC